UACGGAGGGUGCAAGCGUUAUCCGGAUUCACUGGGUUUAAAGGGUGCGUAGGUGGCUUUGUAAGUCAGUGGUGAAAUCUUAGAGCUUAACUCUAAAACUGCCAUUGAUACUGCUUAGCUUGAAUCAAGUAGAGGUGGAUGGAAUAUUACAUGUAGCGGUGAAAUGCUUAGAUAUGUAAUAGAACACCGAUUGCGAAGGCAGUUCACUAUGCUUGUAUUGACACUGAGGCACGAAAGCGUGGGGAGCGAACAGG
rnacentral:rRNA from 1 species